rnacentral:rRNA from 1 species
CAUGCAAGUCGAACGGUAGCACAGAGAGCUUGCUCUCGGGUGACGAGUGGCGGACGGGUGAGUAAUGUCUGGGAAACUGCCCGAUGGAGGGGGAUAACUACUGGAAACGGUAGCUAAUACCGCAUAACGUCUUCGGACCAAAGUGGGGGACCUUCGGGCCUCACACCAUCGGAUGUGCCCAGAUGGGAUUAGCUAGUAGGUGGGGUAACGGCUCACCUAGGCGACGAUCCCUAGCUGGUCUGAGAGGAUGACCAGCCACACUGGAACUGAGACACGGUCCAGACUCCUACGGGAGGCAGCAGUGGGGAAUAUUGCACAAUGGGCGCAAGCCUGAUGCAGCCAUGCCGCGUGUAUGAAGAAGGCCUUCGGGUUGUAAAGUACUUUCAGUGGGGAGGAAGGCGAUGAAGUUAAUAACUUCGUCGAUUGACGUUACCCGCAGAAGAAGCACCGGCUAACUCCGUGCCAGCAGCCGCGGUAAUACGGAGGGUGCAAGCGUUAAUCGGAAUUACUGGGCGUAAAGCGCACGCAGGCGGUCUGUCAAGUCGGAUGUGAAAUCCCCGGGCUCAACCUGGGAACUGCAUUCGAAACUGGCAGGCUAGAGUCUUGUAGAGGGGGGUAGAAUUCCAGGUGUAGCGGUGAAAUGCGUAGAGAUCUGGAGGAAUACCGGUGGCGAAG